CACGAUCUGGAGGGAGACAGAAUGACAUGCCCUGUUAACUUGGUGGUGGCUCUGAGCACAGCCUAAGCCACAUAUUACAGGAUACCCCGAGGAAAGCCUGCCCCAAGGACUUGCCACAGGACCCCCAGGUUUUGGGGAGGCACAGGUGGUGUCAUGCCAGGAGCCUGGGCUUUGGGGUCAGCCAGAAUGAAGUCCCAGCUCUGCCACUUAGCCGUGUGAUCUCAACAGGUACGUCACUCUACUGCCUCGAGGAAGCCCUUGCUGUCCCUCCACCUGACCCAGAGCUCUCUGAUGCCGCCAGAUACGAUCGACAAGAUGAUCAUUUUAUACAAAGUGCCAAUAAAUACAGAGGAAUCCAACAAACACUGAAUUGCUUGACACCAGGACUCAGUCAGCACACCGUUGGCAGACUGGAGGCUCACACCUGUCACCUGACUUCAUCAAAGCUCCUGGCACUGGACGACUUGACACUAACAGAUAUAAGCCAUGGGACUCAGGAGAAUCUCGUCCACUCUGAAGAGUAACCCAACUAAAAGCAUCACAAGGAUGGAGGGACGGUAAGUAGAAGGAUCAGGACCCUUUCUGCCUGUUCCCCCAGUACUCUGAGUUGGUAGCCUUACCCUUUUGUUCUGGGAGUGGCCCCUCAUCUCCACCAGGCAUCCCAGUCCUCCUCACACCAAGGCGAAGCUCAAACAGCACCUCCUCCAAAGCCUUCCCUGAUUUCACUCCCGUCUCCCAAUCCUGACAGCCUUUGCUGUGCUCAUACCACUCUUCUGCCCGAAAGACUGUCUUGAGUCCAGCUGUAGUUUGACGUGUGCUACUUCAUGCUGUCCUUGCGGCAACUCCGGCAGAAGGGAACAGCUCUGAUCGGCCAUUCAGAAGUCUUCAUGCAGCGCCCACUGAAUACAAGAUGUGUGAGAUGAUUGGUCCACAUUUAACGAAAGUAAAAGAGCUGACGGUCCAACGGCUCUCCUGGCCUGGGCUGAUCUGAAGCAGCCACAUUUUACAGAAGGGCCCAUGGAGAAUGAGAAAGAGUGUGCGGAGGCCUGGGCUUCUCCCUGGCAUCUUGGAGGUGGUUUAGACCCUGUGUGCCACCACUCGGAGCAGCCCAACCUUGUUAUGAUGCUAACACUUUUUACAGGUCGACACUGCUCUUCACUUGGGUUCUUGGUAAGGUCAUAUCUGUCCCCUGAAGCCUGGACCUCCUCCGACCUCCCAUAGCACCUAACACGUUUCCAUUGUGUUCAGCACUUGCCUUCUGUACCCGAGACGAUCAGUGCAUUUACCUGUCUGUAUGUGUGCUUUGAUUAUGUCCUCAUCCCACUGUCGCCACUCCCCCAGUUAUAGUACAGGCACUCUUGCCGGGACAAACUGUUUUGUUCACUGUUGCGGCUCCAAGGCUAGAACAAUGCCUGGCACACAGUAGGCAUUCAGUGACUAUCUGGUGACUGACUUGGGCAAAUCACUGAACAACUCUGGUCUUCAGAUUUGUCUUUAUAACUUGGGAAUAAAACUCUUUACUAUGAUCUCUGUGCUAACACCAGGAGGAUGAAAUGAGACAGUGCACCCCAGGGUGUGUGUAUCACUUAUUUACUUACUGCCCCAUCAGCACCAAAUCCACCCUCCAUACUCUGCUUGGGGAUGCUGGCCCUCAGAGCCGGCUAACUGUGUUUCCCAGACUCUGGGGCCGGCUGGUUUCCGGUUAGGUUCUGCCAGUGGCAGGCCCUGGCAGGAGGGAAAGGCAGGAGGAGGAGAGAAGAGGCUUCCUCCUUGUUUUCAGCUCCUAUACGUACAGCUGCAGUGGCAGUGGCCAGCUCCAGCCCUGCUCUCUAGCCGCGUCCUCUCUAGCGUUGGUGCGCUCCCUCUGAGGCCUCACAGCAGCCCAGCUGUGCACACUGCAGUCAGAGCCCAGCUCCCUGACUCCUCACCCACUGAACACCCCCAAGUCAAGCUCUACCCGCAAAACGCUGGGGACAAGCCCGGGGUGUCUCCUCAGACGUCAGCACCAGACAUGCAGCAGCCUUCCUUGGGGAGGUCUAAACACUAGCAGCACCCUUACAGAAGCUGGGGCCCCUCCUCUGACCUCCUGGGAUUUGAUAAUGCCACUUUUUUCUGCCCCCAUCCCUGGGAGAGGGAGGUGCUUCUUGCAGUUAUUAAUCUCUGGGCAUCCUCAACAUUUCUUUUUUGCUCUUUUCAGCCUUCCAACAUCAACUUUCUGAUUUAAAUCCCCUCUUUAAAAAUUAGUGUAGUUUUGAAUAUAUGUGCGUAUAUGCAUGACUGGGACACUGUGCUGUACACCAGAAAUCGACACAUUAUAAUUGACUGUACUUCAAUAAAAAAAGAAUUUAAAAAAUUAGUGUAGUUUCAAAAAUAUGGAGAAUGAGAAAGUCUUAUACCCACCUAACUAUACGCUGCUUUCAAGAGAUAUAUUUAAAUAUAUGUCACAUAAAAAGGAAAAAGAUGGAAAGAGAUUUACUGGGGAAGCAAUAAAGAAAGCCGGUGUGACAAUACUAAUA